AGACUUGUGGGAACCUGAGGAGU
rnacentral:piRNA from 1 species